rnacentral:misc_RNA from 1 species
UGCACACACAAUGUCACCUAAUUCAGUAAAGGUGAGAACUACAAAAACAAUGAUGAGGGGCUUUUGCAGCUAGCUAAAUAAUUAGCAACUUCAUUAAAUUCAUUCAAUUGGUGGUUGGAAGGUAAACCCUAAUGAUGCCUCGCUUUCCAACCUUCUGCCUGCAGGUUGGGCAUUUGUUAUGUAAUGAUUUUAAUGAUUUCAAGAGGCACUCCUUACAGAAGAUGUGGCCACACCUUGUUGCAGUUGGUUCAAUAAAGGGGCCCAUGCAUACUGGGCAACUGAAGAUAGAUUCUUCAGCCAUAGGAACAGGCUGGAACAAUUCUUGAAUUACAGAAACAUUAUUUGCCUUCUUCUUGUUACUUGUUUCUGGUUUCAAGCAAGGCUCACCAUCAUCAGAUAUUCUUCUUUUGCAGUUGGUGCAUAAAGUGGUCACAGCUGUGCAUCCUGUAAGAAUUCCAGUAGCUUCACCAAGCACUUCACGCGUUCCAUGCGAAUGGUUUCUUUCAGAAUUUUCCCUAGCUUGAGAAAAUGUCCUUGGGGAGAUUAUAGUAACUUCAUCAUCAAGGACGUCAAUGACAUUUGUAGUUUGAUGACUAGACCAUCCAUGUGGUUGAGCUUGAACUUCUUGAGAAUUAGUAUAAAUAGAUAAACCAAGCGACAAGUCAAGAGCCCUAAUUUGAGGAGCAAGAGGAUAGUUAAGAUCUAAGUCUAGAUCCAAUCCUCUUCUUUGAGAGUUUGUCAUGUUCCCUUCUAAACAGUUCAGUUCCCAGGAAUCCAUGUUAUCAUCAAAGCACAACAAACCUGAGGAGAGAAUCAAGAGCUGGAGACGAUAUUUUGAGAUGCGAAGGAGGAAGAAAUUGAUCGGCGGCUGGCAAUAUAGAGAAGAAGGAGGAGCAGGAAUGAACGAGUUUUAUG